CUAACUGACAGAUCUGAAGAAGGACCAAGCAGGACUUUACACCGCUGAGGGUUUUGAUAGUGAUGGGCAAAAAGAGCACAAAAAGGCAAAAAGAGCACAACUUUAUGUGUACUUGACCCCGUGAAGAAGCCCACACUAAAUAUAAUCUGUCUGGCCUCUGAGGUCGUCUUUAUCUGCAGUCAUGAUCCGCAACCUGAUGGUAUAAACCAACACGAUGUCAUACAGUACAAGUGGCUCCUGGAUGGCGAAGUCAUCAUCAAAGAAACUGAAACGUCUCUGACAAGAAGCUCUGUAGAAACCAAAAACAUGAUUAUCUCCAGUGAAGUUUAC